rnacentral:rRNA from 1 species
AUUGAACGCUGGCGGAAUGCUUUACACAUGCAAGUCGAACGGCAGCACGGGGCAACCUGGUGGCGAGUGGCGAACGGGUGAGUAAUAUAUCGGAACGUGCCCAAUCGUGGGGGAUAACGUAGCGAAAGUUACGCUAAUACCGCAUACGAUCUACGGAUGAAAGCGGGGGAUCGCAAGACCUCGCGCGAAUGGAGCGGCCGAUAUCAGAUUAGGUAGUUGGUGGGGUAAAGGCUCACCAAGCCAACGAUCUGUAGCUGGUCUGAGAGGACGACCAGCCACACUGGAACUGAGACACGGUCCAGACUCCUACGGGAGGCAGCAGUGGGGAAUUUUGGACAAUGGGCGCAAGCCUGAUCCAGCCAUUCCGCGUGCAGGACGAAGGCCUUCGGUUGUAACUGCUUUUGUACGAACGAAACGGUACUGCCUAAUACGGCGGCGUAAUGACGGUACCGUAAGAAUAAGCACCGGCUAACUACGUGCCAGCAGCCGCGGUAAACGUAG